ACCCUUUUGUUGUACAUAUGCAUGAUGAUUGAGUGUUCAUGCUGUCAUGCCCCAUGUACCUGCCUCAAAUCUUGUUACGGUGUCAGCACAUUACCCAUCUGAAG
ensembl:snoRNA